rnacentral:rRNA from 1 species
AUUGAACGCUGGCGGCAGGCCUAACACAUGCAAGUCGAACGAGUGGCGGACGGGUGAGUAAUGUCUGGGAAACUGCCCGAUGGAGGGGGAUAAAUACUGGAAACGGAAGCUAAUACCGCAUACCAUCGGAUGUGGCCAGAUGGGAUUAGCUAGUAGGUGGGGUAACGGCUCACCUAGGCGACGAUCCCUAGCUGGUCUGCGAGGAUGACCAGCCACACUGGAACUGAGACACGGUCCAGACUCCUACGGGAGGCAGCAGUGGGGAAUUUGGGACAAUGGGGGAAACCCUGAUCCAGCCACCCCGCGUGUGCGAUGAAGGCCUUCGGGUUGUAAAGCACUUUUGGCAGGAAAGCGGUACCUGCAGAAUAAGCACCGGCUAACUACGUGCCAGCAGCCGCGGUAAUUC